rnacentral:rRNA from 1 species
UGGGGAAUUUUGGACAAUGGGCGCAAGCCUGAUCCAGCCAUGCCGCGUGCAGGAUGAAGGCCUUCGGGUUGUAAACUGCUUUUGUACGGAACGAAAAGGUGCCUUCUAAUAAAGGGCGCUCAUGACGGUACCGUAAGAAUAAGCACCGGCUAACUACGUGCCAGCAGCCGCGGUAAUACGUAGGGUGCAAGCGUUAAUCGGAAUUACUGGGCGUAAAGCGUGCGCAGGCGGUUCGGAAAGAAAGGUGUGAAAUCCCAGGGCUUAACCUUGGAACUGCACUUUNAACUACCGGGCUAGAGUACGUCAGAGGGGGGUAGAAUUCCACGUGUAGCAGUGAAAUGCGUAGAGAUGUGGAGGAAUACCGAUGGCGAAGGCAGCCCCCUGGGAUGAUACUGACGCUCAUGCACGAAAGCGUGGGGAGCAAACA